AACUAGUUCAGGAGCAAUGAAACAUCUGGCGUUACACGGGCGCCUGCCAGAUGCGGAGCGAGUGGCGCGACCGACAGAACCGAGG
rfam:Deinococcus maricopensis DSM 21211, complete genome.